ACGGCUCAGUAACACGUGGACAACCUACCCUUCGGUCCGGCAUAAUCCUGGGAAACUGGGGAUAAUUUCGGAUAGGUCACAGAUGCUGGAAUGCUCUGUGGCUCAAAGCUCCGGCGCCGAAGGAUGGGUCUGCGGCCUAUCAGGGUUGUAGUGGGUGUAACGUACCUACUAGCCUACGACGGGUACGGGUUGUGAGAGCAAGAGCCCGGAGAUGGAUUCUGAGACACGAAUCCAGGCCCUACGGGGUGCAGCAGGCGCGAAAACUUUACAAUGCGGGAAACCGUGAUAAGGGAAUCUCGAGUGCCAGCAUAUAAUGUUGGCUGUCCAGAUGCCUAAAAAGCAUUUGUUAGCAAGGGCCGGGCAAGACCGGUGCCAGCCGCCGCGGUAACACCGGCGGCCCGAGUGGUAACCGUUUUUAUUGGGUCUAAAGGGUCUGUAGCCGGCCAUGUAAGUCCCUUGGGAAAUCUGGCAGCUCAACUGUCAGGCUGCUAGGGGAUACUGCUUGGCUUGGGACCGGGAGAGGUGAGAGGUACCUUGAGGGUAGGGGUGAAAUCUUGUGAUCCUCGAGGGACCACCAGUGGCGAAGGCGUCUCACCAGAACGGGUCCGACGGUAAGGGACGAAAGCUAGGGGCACGAACCGGAUUAGAUACCCGGGUAGUCCUAGCCGUAAACGAUGCUCGCUAGGUGUCAGUCACGGUGCGACCGUGAUUGGUGCCGUAGGGAAGCCGUGAAGCGAGCCACCUGGGAAGUACGGCCGCAAGGCUGAAACUUAAAGGAAUUGGCGGGGGAGCAC
rnacentral:rRNA from 1 species